rnacentral:tRNA from 1 species
GAGGGUGUAGCUCAGUGGUAGAGUGCAUGCCUAGCAUGCAUGAGGUACUGGGUUCAAUCCCCAGUACUCCA